CUCACACCCUGACCAUACUAAAACAAAGACAAAACAAAGGAACUAAGGUCAGAACGUGACACCUAUCUUCUGAUUCUGGCAAGCAUACAAGGUUAAAAAGCGACACCCAAUCAGAAUUCAGAUCCUAUCUGUCCUGAGUAGAAUAAUGUUUGCCUAGCAACACUCUCUCAUUGGCUAGAAAUGACUAGUUUCUGGGAAAAUGAAACUUAACAGAAUGUAACGUGAGACACGUUGGGUGCUUUAGUUUCGCAUGAGAUUUAGACCAUUCCAUUGGUCCUUAAGGUCCUGGCUAUGCAAAACCAGCCGGCCCACUGCUUCAGCUCUCUCUGUGACAACAGCAGACAACAAUAUAUAGAUCUGUGCAACACUAAAAUUUUUGAUUGGCUGCAGUUUUAGUAAUGGAACGAGGAAGAGGAAGGAUUCUGUUCCUGUUGACACUCUGUCUGCAAGACUUCACUGGUGAAUGCCAAGGUACACACACACACACACACACACACACAC